UUCUGGCACAUGUCGAGGAACUGCUUCGUAGUGAUCGAUCCGUUGAUCGAGAUGCCGGCCUUGUCCAGGACCUUCUUGUUGUACCAGAGCACGUUCGUCCGGUGGAUGCCGGCGAGCACGGCCCACAUCUUCCCAUCCUUGCCGAUCUCGUCCUUGAGUCGCGCCGGCAUGACCUUGUACCAGCUGGCCCUCAUACAUGUCGGUCACGGGAGACCGAUAGCGCACAAGUA
rnacentral:rRNA from 1 species